CCGUAGCCCCGAUAGCAGUGGAAAUCCUUUUUUGCCGAGGUUCGGCACAAAAGAUUGAAACGGAUAGCGGGAAAAAGC
rnacentral:sRNA from 2 species